CUGGAGUCAAGCCUACAGUCAGAAAACUUAGGAAUCUACUUGGUGCUCUAUUCUACUACAACUGAACUGGUAUCCAAGCCACAAGACUAAGUCCUUCACACUCUUCCUUCUCCUUUCUUCAAGGAGAAGGAGCCUCCCCUCAUGGCUACCAUUGCCCAGGCCCAUGGAGAGUACUGCCUGGCUACUGCCAAUGAUCACUCAAGACCGAAGGGCUCUUCACUCAGCUGGCAGUGGCUAUGUGCUUCAAAAAAUUACCAACUUCUCUUUUCAUGGGUAAAACUUAUAAAAAAGAAAAAAGGAACACACUGCAAAC
rnacentral:lncRNA from 10 species